GUAAAUACAUCCACCCCCAAAUGCAAAUACACCAGCAGAGAUUCCUUGCCCGGGGCUCAGAGCGGAGCAGGCUCGGACAGGAGAGCAGCACCAUGAGGCUGUUUGUCUUGCUGGCUGUGCUCUACAGUGGAGCGAAGAGCAGUGUUGUGCCACAGAAAAUGUAUGGGAGGAUCACGUCCCCAAACUUUCCAAAUGUCUACCCAAACCACAAGGAGAGAAUCUGGAAUAUUACUGUCCCCAAGGGAUAUUCUGUCCGUAUCUACUUCACCCAUUUCAACCUGGAGCUGUCCUACCUGUGUGAAUAUGAUUAUGUGAAGCUGAGCUCUGGUGGGAAGACCUUGGCUACACUGUGUGGAAAGGACAGCACAGACACUGAGGAGGCUCCAGGCAACAAGACAUACAUCUCCAUGGACAACCACCUCGUGGUGGUGUUCCGGUCCGACUACUCCAACGAGAAACCAUUCACGGGCUUUGAGGCCUUCUAUGCUGCUGAAGAUAUUGAUGAGUGCAAGCAGCUGUUGGAUGGUGAACCCCUCUGCAAUCAUCACUGUCACAACUACGUGGGGGGCUACUAUUGCAGCUGCAGGGUUGGCUACACACUGCAUGAAAACAAGAGGACGUGCACAGCCCACUGUCAGAGUCCCGUUUUUACUGAGAGAAUUGGAGAAAUCCCUGGCCCUGACUAUCCAACACCUGCUCUCAGCUCCUGCAGCUGCAGGAUCCAGAUAGAAGAGGCUUCCUGAUCGUGCUGCAAUUCGUGGAGACCUUUAAUGUAGAGACACACCCAGGACUGCCGUGCCCCUGUGAUGUCCUUAAGGUCCGUGUCCCGCAGUCCUGAAGCACCACCCCAUGGUCACAGCGCACCAGUGCAAGCCCGGCCUGUCCUGGUGACGACUGUGCUCUCUGGUGACAUGGGAUAUCACUACUCGACACGGGUGAACCUUGUCAGCCCUCCUGGACUCCAUUUCCCGGGGAUUAAACACGCAGGUGCCCUUUCUCAUCAGUAUGCUGUAAUUAGAGGUGUGUUCAGCACACUGGGUUUGUCAGCAACUGACCUUUGAUACCCUCCCUGAAGAAUUGCUCCUGUGCACGUCUGUGUGUCCAUCCAGCCUUGCUGCUGCUCAGAGAUUUGCUUCUAACUACGUUGGAAGAAAAGGAUGAUUUUACAAAAGAUUUCACCAGAUCAGUGUAGCGAGAUUUUUUGAUGUUCUUCCGUUUGUUACUCAUCUCUCCAGGGAAGUUAAAACAGGAAUACAUGGUCAUUCCUGCUGCAUUUCACACUUACUCCUUAGUAACUGAACUGAGCUUCCCAGCAGACAGUUUUGGAAGGUGUAUGCUUAUGGAACUUUAAAAUCACAGGUAGGUGAUGGUGGUUUGGGGAGGCAGAGUCUUAACUCAGCAGUUACUUUCUAGGCUGUCUGAUUUGACAGUUGUGCUGUUUAUGUAGAAACCCAGAAUAACUGAUGUGAGAGUUAUGGAUUCCACACAAACAGUGGGAGAGCUGGGGGUGUGUGAAAAUGCAGUGACAAAAUUCAGGGCCAGUGUGAAGCCCUGUUCUGCCCUGGAAAGGCCAACAGUAAUGGUAGGGCCUAAACAUGGAAUUAAACGUGGUCCUUGGCUCUGGGGCGUGCAAAGGGAAUGUCCCUGCCUUACCUGGACACACCUGGAACUUUGCCUGUGGGAAGGAUUUGUAUUUUUAAGGCUGUGUAAGCAAUGCUGAAAGGUACCCAGGCAGGCUUCAUUCAGUCACAGCUGGGAGCUUUCUUACCAUUCCCAAUCCAUCAGUGGAUUUAAUAGAUUAAAUCCUGGGAAUAGCCCAAGGGAGGGAAGUGACACAGUCACCUUCUCAGGACCCCACAGGGACUCAAAAGCCACCUAAAAUAUGUUGUCUGAGGAUGCCUGUAGAGUGUCACUCCUGCUGUUAACCAGUGCCCAGCUGUUCCAGUCCCUGGUUCUCAUCUGUGCUGUCUCUGGGAUGCAGGUCAGGAUCCACGUGGUGAUGGACACUGGAGACACUGCAGCUCGUGCCUCAGCUCCAGCCUGCAGGGACCUGCCCAUGCGGGGCUGGGCACAGUCACCCUCUCAGCUAUUCCACUUGCACGGGAGCAGGUACAGCCCUGUGGCUUUCUUGGCUUUCUUUUAGUACCUCUAAGCUGGUGAGGCAGAACCACUUCCCUGCAGAAUGUUCAUUUUAACAAUCAAUUACCACCUUUGUUACGCUGAUUUUCAGACUGGCAAGUGCUACAGGUGCUGUUUAACACUAAGAAAACUGAAAAUGUUAUGAUAACUGCAUGGUGUGACUGUAAUAACUAACACUGACCUUAGAUUUGUUAAACCAUUUACUAUUUUACAUGCCUUAGUCUUUCCUGAGUCUCCCCAGCACAGCCAGCGUUGCAGAUUAAUGCCCAAAACUCAGUUCAGUUCUCCUUGAAGAGAGUAAAAAGCUGAACCUUCCUUUACUCCAGCUCUUUUGGAGAAUGCAGUUUCAUAAUUAACUAAAUUGUUGCUUUUAAAUUGCUUGGCAUUGUUUCUGACAGGAAGAUUGAACCACACUCUAGCAGUACUUGUGAGGGGAAAAGCCACUGCAUUCCCUCGCUGCACAGUACGGGGUUGGGAAUUUUGUUUUUUAAUGCCUGAACUGCUACAUUAAUUACACUGUAAAAUUAGUCAAGAUCCAAGACUGAGUUUUGGGAGAAACAUUUUACAAUGUAAUAGCAUAAUUGUCGCUCUUAUCUUUUAGAUUAGAAUAUCCAUAUAUUCCAAUUACCUUAAUUUACAUUCAGAACAAAUGCAUUUCCUUCUCCAUGCCCAAAUUCCUCAGCAAUGCUGUCUCUCUUGAUUACAGAACUUUUCCAAGGGAUGCACUACUAAUGAAAAUUGUAUUCUAAAUCAAAUAUUCAUUUGCAAGCAAUUUUACCAUUCCAAAACAAUCUAGGAAUUACAUUUAGAAUCAUUAACUUAAUUUAAUCCAUAUAAG